rnacentral:rRNA from 1 species
AGGUGCAAAGUGCAAUCAUCGAAUCUCUGAAUCCCAUAAUAGCUCUGCAGUUGAGUAUGCUUUGGAGAAAGUAGUAUUGAGAUGGGUGACCUCUUGAGAAGUCCUCUUAUAGCAUAUU